rnacentral:rRNA from 1 species
GACGAACGCUGGCGGCGUGCUUAACACAUGCAAGUCGAACGGACCCUUUGGGGUUAGUGGCGAACGGGUGAGUAACACGUGGGUGAUCUGCCCUGCACUUUGGGAUAAGCCUGGGAAACUGGGUCUAAUACCGGAUAGGACUACGCACUGCAUGGUGUGUGGUGGAAAGCUUUUGCGGUGUGGGAUGGGCCCGCGGCCUAUCAGCUUGUUGGUGGGGUGAUGGCCUACCAAGGCGACGACGGGUAGCCGGCCUGAGAGGGUGACCGGCCACACUGGGACUGAGAUACGGCCCAGACUCCUACGGGAGGCAGCAGUGGGGAAUAUUGCACAAUGGGCGCAAGCCUGAUGCAGCGACGCCGCGUGAGGGAUGACGGCCUUCGGGUUGUAAACCUCUUUCGCCAGGGACGAAGCGCAAGUGACGGUACCUGGAGAAGAAGGACCGGCCAACUACGUGCCAGCAGCCGCGGUAAUACGUAGGGUCCGAGCGUUGUCCGGAAUUACUGGGCGUAAAGAGCUCGUAGGUGGUUUGUCGCGUUGUUCGUGAAAACUCACAGCUUAACUGUGGGCGUGCGGGCGAUACGGGCAGACUGGAGUACUGCAGGGGAGACUGGAAUUCCUGGUGUAGCGGUGGAAUGCGCAGAUAUCAGGAGGAACACCGGUGGCGAAGGCGGGUCUCUGGGCAGUAACUGACGCUGAGGAGCGAAAGCGUGGGGAGCGAACAGGAUUAGAUACCCUGGUAGUCCACGCCGUAAACGGUGGGUACUAGGUGUGGGUUUCCUUCCUUGGGAUCCGUGCCGUAGCUAACGCAUUAAGUACCCCGCCUGGGGAGUACGGCCGCAAGGCUAAAACUCAAAGGAAUUGACGGGGGCCCGCACAAGCGGCGGAGCAUGUGGAUUAAUUCGAUGCAACGCGAAGAACCUUACCUGGGUCUGACAUGCACAGGACGCCGGCAGAGAUGUCGGUUCCCUUGUGGCCUGUGUGCAGGUGGUGCAUGGCUGUCGUCAGCUCGUGUCGUGAGAUGUUGGGUUAAGUCCCGCAACGAGCGCAACCCUUGUCUCAUGUUGCCAGCACGUUAUGGUGGGGACUCGUGAGAGACUGCCGGGGUCAACUCGGAGGAAGGUGGGGAUGACGUCAAGUCAUCAUGCCCCUUAUGUCCAGGGCUUCACACAUGCUACAAUGGCCGGUACAAAGGGCUGCGAUGCCGUGAGGUGGAGCGAAUCCUUUCAAAGCCGGUCUCAGUUCGGAUCGGGGUCUGCAACUCGACCCCGUGAAGUCGGAGUCGCUAGUAAUCGCAGAUCAGCAACGCUGCGGUGAAUACGUUCCCGGGCCU